rnacentral:rRNA from 1 species
GAUGAACGCUGACAGAAUGCUUAACACAUGCAAGUCUUUGGCGAAGCUGUGCUUGCACCGCCUAGCCAAGGCGGACGGGUGAGUAACGCGUAAGGAACUUGCCCUGCAGUCAGGGAUAACAGACGGAAACGACUGAUAAGACCUGGUAAAGUCAGGCGGACUCAUGUCCAGCCUGAUGAAAAGAGAUGCUGCAGGAGAGCCUUGCGUCCUAUUAGCUUGUUGGUGGGGUAACGGCCCACCAAGGCGAUGAUAGGUAGCCGGCCUGAGAGGGUGGACGGCCACGAGGGGACUGAGAUACGGCACUUACUCCUACGGGAGGCAGCAGGGGGGAAUAUUGGACAAUGGGGGCAACACUGAUCCAGCAAUUCUGUGUGCACGAUGAAGGUUUUCGGAAUGAAAAGUGCUUUCAGCAGGGAAGAAAAAAAUGACGGUACCUGCAGAAGAAGCGACGGCUAAAUACGUG